rnacentral:lncRNA from 1 species
CAGGCCAGUGUUUCCAGCCAUCAUGUCAGAGCUGAGUGGAGUGGCACUGGGUGCCAAGGCAAACACCCAGCCCAGCUGUGCUGGGAAGAACUGAGCUCCAAUGUGUCUUGUGACCCAGCUCCUCCCACCCACCUGGCUGUGUCUCCUAUCCUGCAGAGUGCCAGCACCCACUAACCUGUAAAUAGCACCUUGUUCAGGGGGAGUGAUAUUCUUUGACUGUAUGAUUUGGGGCCUUGCUGCUCAAAAUGUGGUCAGCAGCAUUGACAUCACCUGGGAUCUCAUUACAAAUGCAGAAUCUCAGACCUCACUCCAGAUGUGCUGGAUGAGAAUGGCCAUUUUCACAAGCUCCCCAGGAUAUGUGUGCCUGUUAAAGUUUGAGAAGCACUGAUCGGAGGACUUCGGUUAUAAUCCCACCUCCUUCUAUAAGUGAUUAAAGAAAAUUCACUUAUACUCUCCUUUGAACAGCUGUAUGCUUCUCAAUUUCUCUCUCUCUCUCUCUCUCUCACACACACACACACACACACACACUUUAUUUUUCAAUCUCUAUAGACUUGCUUCUUUGUAAGGCUCUCAAUUUCUCCUCCCCAGUGACACAAGCUUGCAUGUGGAUAUAGCUCGUCAUGGUGCCUAUUUAUCUUCAACUUUAUGCAACCUUAGCACUCUUUUACUCAGAAACCUUUUGACUGGGAGAGCAGGGCAAACUCAAAUCCCUACAGAGACCAGGAAGGCAGCAUGGAUGAGUGCAGAAAGCUACAUUUGUUUCAGAAAGGAAUCAGUGUAUAUUCUUUCAGCAGACACAUUUAGUUUGUUUCUUAUAAGCCACUAGAAGAGUCAUUACUUUCACAAAGUCAUAUGCUUAUUCCCAUUUUUCAUAAAAUAUGGCCUAUCUUCAGUUUUCCCAGUUUUGAUACAGAAAAAAAUAUAAGAAAGAUUUUCUAUUUCCUAUAACUAUAAAAGCCCACUAAUAGCACCAGCACAGCCACCCCUGGGCUUCACACAGGGAGUGGCAGGAGCUGUGCAGAUGGAGAGUGCAUACUGGUGUGAAGGGGGCAAUGGAUCUCAGCUCCAGCCAUUGUCUUCAUGCAGGAAUUUGGGACCAUUUUACCGGAUCCUCCCAUUUCUUCAAGAGAAGCCGGAAAUCUGGAUUUCUAUGUGAAAUCUCCCACUUUUUUAUGCUGGCAACUAAUUUUCUUUAAACACUGUGCCAAACAAAACAUACCUGCAGGCCAAAAUCUACACCCUCUGGGCUGGAUUUCAAUGUCUCUUAAACUCUCAACAGAGAGCAUCUUACUGUUUCAGUUCAGGGUAGAUGUCUACCCAUGGUCCCAUCGAGUGGGGUCUGGAUAUGGAAUCAGCUAGAAGAAGCAUAGUCUAUGCCCAUUCUUUCAGCAGGGACUGUGGGCAGGAAACCAUUUCCAAAGAAGCAGGCAUGAGUUGGUGGCCAUACAAAUAUAUAUGUUAUAUUGAUAAAUAUAAAAACAGGAGAUUCUGGGGGACCACAAGUUUUUACAAAUUAGGCUUAUUUUAGGAUAAAUUCACCCUUGUUAGUGUGCAGUUCUGUGAGUUUUGAUAUACAUAUGCAGUCAAGUAACCACUCCCACAAUUAAGAUACAGAAUAAUUCCAUCACCCCCCAAAUUUCUUGUAUGCCCCUUUAUAGCUAGCCCCUGACCCUAACCUCUGGCAAUCACUAAUAUAUUCUCUUUUUCUAUAGGCUUGCUUUUUUUCAAAAUGUCAUAUACAUGGAAUCACACAGUUUAUAGCCUUUUGAGUCUGGCUUAUUUUACUCAGCAUAAUGCCUUUGAGCUUUAACCAUGUAAUUUCAUGUAUCAGUAGUUCAUUCCUAUGUAUUGCUAAGUAAUUUUCCACUGUAUAGAUGCACCACAGUUUGUUUAUCCAUUCACCAAUUAAAGCCAUAAUCAACUUCCAUGUAGAAGUUUGUGUGUGAACACAGUUUUAAUUUAUUUGGGGUUACUACCUAGGAGUGAGAUUCUGGGUCUUAUGGUAAGCAUACAUUUUACUAAGAAACUAUAAAACUCUUUUCCAAAGUGGCUGAACCAUUUGACAUUUCUAACAGCAAUAUUUGAAAGUUCCCAUUGCUCUGUAUCCUCUCCAGUACUUACAUGCUCAGCAUUUUGGUUUGGUCUGGUUUCAUUGUUUCUGAGCUCUUCUGAUAGAUGUGGAGUACACCCCCAUUUUGGAUGAAUUGUGCCAAAUGUGUAGACCAUCCUCAAAAUCUAAGGUCUCAGUAAAAACAAUUAAACAUGAUUUCUGAUAUAAUGUCUUAUCCUUGAAAACCCUGACCCAUCCAUCUUCAGCACAUUCACAUGUGUAAUAAGGUAAGUGAUUUUUAAUUCCACCAGGUUUAAAGACCCCUGACGUGACUUAUUGCCAUUCUGCUACUGAGCCUUGAGAGAUUAUGGUAAGUGCCAAGAAAAAAAAAAUGACUUUGAACUGCUCUUUCACCAGUUAAAAAUAACACUGAAACCAAAUGUAAACAUAAAAGAAGUGGUCAGAUUCGGGUUACAUAUUAACGGUGUUUGGUCAGGCUGGAGCUGAGGCACAGCAGCAGAGAAUGCCUUUUACUUAUCACUGUUUCCAAACCUCCCUACCUGGACUAGGCUUGACUGGAUUUACAAGAGACCUUUUGAAAAGAUGCAGAGAAGGCAAGCAGCACACAUUUCCUGGUAAUAAAUUUUAAAGGUUGCUAAAACAUUCCAGAGAUUUUCACUCAACAUUCCUCUGGCCAACACAUCUGCAAUCUGCCAAUCCUUAAAAAUAGGUGUUUUUGCAUUUUAAUCUCACAAACAUCUUUGAAAAUGCAUUUCUUCUCUGCCCCUGUGUUGGACAAAUCCAGCUUUUUCCAUUUUCUAAAAACCACAGAAAUAUAAUGCUGCUUAAUUCAUACAAGACUGAGCUAACUGGAGUUAAAAUAAAAUUUCUGAGAGUUUGUUUGGCUCACUCUUCCCUACCAGAUGAUUCCAUUCUUAAAACGGUCCUGUGAUUAUAUUCUCUCAUUACAGAGGUGUCCAGAAAAAAAAUAAGGAGUGCAGUUCUGAAAUUAUAUAAAAGCAAAAUUAUUACUCUAAACGUAAGAGCUGUGAUAGAUCGUGUCAUUGACCAUGGUUCUUUUCCCCUGACACACACGUCCCCACCACCCACCCACUGUAUCCAUAUGCCUUUUGCCAUAUGACUUUGCAGCUCUCCCCACUAAAGGGGCAGCCAUGCGAUUUGCUUUGGCCAAUGAAAUGAGGCAGUAGUGGUGGUAUCCUAGUUCUGAGCCUAGGUCUCAAGAAGUCUUAUGUGUUUCUGCUUAUCCUCUUAUACCUCUGCCAUCACCAUGAGCCAAACAUCCCCCAAGUAGCCCACUGGUCCCAGGACAAGGAGGGAGACAUGAAGCAGAGCUCAUCCAGCUGCUGCAGCCCCACUUGACCCAGAGACCUACACUGGGAAGCAGAGCUGCCCAGUCAAGUCCAACCUGGAUGUGUGGAACCCCAGCCAACCUGAUGCAUGAGCAGGAGAUCAGCUUAAUAUUGAAUCCUAGCCUCAAUGCUUUGGAUUUGUGCCAAGAAAAAUAACCUGAUCCCCAGAAUCAUUGAGAAUUGACGGGGGUCCUCAGGCUGCUCACGGCAUUGGAAGACAUCAUAAACAUUAAUGGAGAGCGGGAUGCCAGAAUAAGUUGAUCCAAAUGAUGCAGGAAUAUUUAGCAGCAAGGAGAAAGGAAUUCACAUUUCUCAGUACCCACUAUGUGCCAUACUUUGUGAUAAGAUGGUUUCCCUCCAAUAUAUCCUCAUUGUCAGCAAUGUCGGGAAACAGGAAUCAUUUCCCCUUCUACAGGUGAUAAAACUGAAGCAAGAAACAUACAGGCUAACAUCAGCUGAGCUGAGAUUUGAACUCCACUCUUUUUGACCCUGGAGCUGAUGAAUGCUGCUUCUAGAGGUUGAGUAUCCCUUAUCCGAAAUCCUUGGAACCAGGAGAUUUUUGGAUUUGGGAAUAUUUGCAUAUACAUAAUGAGAUAUCUUGGAGAUGGGACCCAAGUCUAAAUACAAAAUUAUUUUGUUGUAUAUACACCUUGUACACAUAGACUGAAGAUAAUUUUAUACAAUAUUUUAAAUAAUUUUGUGCGUGAAACAAAGUUGUGACUAUGUCUUGACUGUAAGACAUCUUGCAUGCAACCCAUCAUAUGAGGUCAGGUGCAGAAUUUUCCAUUUGUGGUGUCAUGUUAGUGCUCAAAAAUUUUCGGAUUUUGGAGCACUUCAGACUUUCGUUUUCCAGACGGGGGAUGCUCAACCUGUCUUAGAACCUGUGGUCUCCCAUCAUGCCUCCCUUCCCCAUUCCCUUGCUCCACUGGGGUCUGAGGUGGGAAAGCAAAAGGAGUUGCAGGUAACCCUCACUUUUCACACCAGGCAAUCUCUCCCCACAAUCUGUCACAUUCCUGAAGAACAAGGAAGCAGAGCACUCCACUGAAGAAAUUCUGUUAAAAUCUAUCCCCAACGUAUAAGCAUCCAUCUUUGUCCCAGUCUGGGUCUAACAUGAACAAAGUGCUUAAACAAUUCAGUAGAGGAGAAAGGGAACUUGGAGCAGCUCUGUCACCCUGAAGUGACACUGCCAUGCUGCAUUUCCUGUCUGUAAUAUCUCUUCAGAGCAAUUGUUUUCUUCUGUGAGGACACUUCAGAGAUUCACAGAGACAGAUGCUCUUGUGACUGACCAUAGCAAGUAUCAAAAGGCCUGGGUGGAAUUACGAAGCAUUUCUCGUGCACUGCGUAUUGGGAAGUGCUUCACAGCUGUGUGGCAGAUGUGAGUGGACAGAGGGGCAAGGGAACUGCCCCAAAGGAGGUGGCAGAGGAAGCAACAAGCCAGGGAUUGGCUGGCCGGUCCCAGCACAGCAACUGCAGCAGCAGCUUGCUAAGUUUCACAGGUGAAGCCAAAGGCUGGGGGGAAUGGAAAACAAAUAUCACUCCAUUAAAUUAAGGUCUGAGGAAAACAUGAUGAGGAAAGUCAAUAGUGAAUCAAAACAUUGAAAAGCCACUAACUUUGACUUUCCAUGUGCGUGUGCAAGUUCACGUGUGCAUGUGUGUCUGCAUGUCCAAGUUCUACACUGAUUCAAGAAAUAAUUAUAGAGGGCCUGCCAUAGGAUGGUGAGCAAAACAGUCUUGGCCUCUGUCCUGAUGGAGCAUGCAGUAUCACAGACUCUAUAUGUUCUAUUUCUAGGCCUUGUAUUUUGAGGAUAUAUGCCAGUGGAAUGAGAAUGGCUCUGUGACCUUGUUUAAGUCCCACCACUGUCUCAGGCAGGGUUUUCCAAAGUGUAGUCCUUAUACUAUUAUGUGGUGAAGAUGCUUAAUUGUUUUGUAAUUAUUUAAUGUGCGUAGGUAUCACAUCAAACCCAGUAUUUUCAAGGAUUUUUAUAGCUUAAGACAAGGCUUGUUAUAGGCAAGGUGGAUCAAUUCAAAAAAUAUAUGCUAACAAAAUAAUAGUGGAGGUGGUACAAAGAAACAGCAAAGGUAGUGAGAUGGCUUCACUGGUGUUUGUGAAUCACCAAGAUAAUGCACGUGGAAAUAAAAAUCAGUGUGGUCCAUAGAAAUACAAGGGGUUCUAAUUACCCCUCAGUGAGCACUUGCUCUCUCACUCACCCCAGCAAUGACAUAUUAAGCAAAGCACUGCCCUGACUGCAUAUGCUCUUGCCGACAACUUGGCCAGCAUUCAGAAGACACUAAGUGUGCUCUGGGAACUUCAGAAGGCACUAACAUUCCAUGGAGAACUUCACAAAGAGUGAGACCUAGUCCCUGGCCUAAAGAGAGUAUAAUUUAGUAGGAAAGAGAAGACAAACACACAAAUAACUGUAAAAUGGGAUAAGCCCCAAAGUGGAGGUACAAAGUCCCAUAGAAGAGGCUCAAUGAUAAGUCACGCCUGCCGGGUAAGGUCAAGAAAGACUUCAUGGAGAUUUGAGAUGGCAUCUGAGAUAAGCCAGGAAAGACGGUAGAAUUUCAACAACCAAAAAAGUGGGGAGAGGGAUGGGAGGCAUUCCAGAGAAGGAGAAAUGCUUGAGCAAUGGUACAGAGACCAGGAAGUUAUAUGAGGGCAGAAAGUCCCUGCUGUCUAUUUAGCUGGGAUAUAGAAUGCAAGUCAGUUAGAUGAUUAGGUGGGGUUAUAACAUAACUAGCCUUAAAUAGUGGACUGAGAAUUUUCCACUUAAUUUAAUGCAAAUGGCAGGGGAGGGGGCAGGCAAUGGAGAGCUGAAAACAGGACUGGAGAUGCGCUGGAGGGAAGUAACCCUGGAAAUGGGUGAAGUACGGGUUACUGUCACCCCAGCUCUGGUUCUUGUUAUUCCCUAGGAGAAGCAUAAUAGAAGUGUGAAUUUAGGGUAGCCAAAUGAUGACUUUGCAGAGGGAAUCUUUAGGACUUGUGACUUGAUUAAAAGCAGGGAGAUGGAUAGGGAACGUCCAAGGAUAACUAGAUAACUAGAGCUCUCCUGUUCCUCUGACUCAUGUGUGCUGAAACUGUAGAGUCAAACAAACACUUGUAAGUGGCGUGAUGUAAAUCCCUUAGGGGCCCAUGCCUGCCUCAAGAGAAGAACGUGUGGUCAGGAAAAACGACCGGGGGAAGUGAAAACGACACAAGACCCAGAGGAUAACCCUUAUUUUAUUCACACAUGCAAAUUUAGGCACAGCAAAAAGCAAAACGAAGUAUACCAAAUGUCAAGGGUUAAUUAUUAAUCAUUUCUAUAUUAAAUUAUGAGUUUUUCAGUAAGACACUUUUUGAUAAGAAACUUGAAUUACGUUCAUAACCAUCAAAAUAAAGAAAAUAAAAGAGACAGAUUUUCUUUGGUGGUGGGAGAACAUUAAGUAUUGUGGAAGCCUGAAAAAUGGUCCCCAAAAGAAUCUGGUCCUAAUCCUUAGAACUUGUGAGUAUUAUCUUACUUGGAAAAAGGGUUGUUUUAAGAUAAGGAUCUUGAGUUGGGAAGAUUGUCCUGAGUUAUUCAGGUAGGCUGUAAAUGCCAUCACAGGCAACCUUUUUACAUGGAUAUUUGACACAGAGUGGAGGAGACACCCAUAGGAGAAGGCUAUGUGAAGACAUAGCAUCGAGACACUUGAAGAUAUUGGCCUUCAAAUGGCACAGCCACAAGCAAAGGAAUGCCAGCAGCCACCAGGAAAAAGCAAAGAAUGGAUUCUCACCUAAAGUCUCCAGAGGGACUGUAGAGUAUCCUGCCAACACCUUGAUUUUGACUCUGUGAAACUGAUGUCAGGCUUCUGGCCUCCAGAACUGUGAGAGAAGAAAUUUCUGUUGUUUUAAACCUUCGAAUUUGUGGUAAUGUGUUAGAGCAGCCACAGGAAACUCAUAUUCUAAACUAGCAACUAUGAAAUGAGAAUUUCUAGUGUUCAGCUAAGAUACCACCGCAGAAGCAGCUGGAUAAUAUCAGAUGAGCCGAAAACUUCUCUUACCCCAUUUCCUUAUCCAUAAAAUUAGCAAAUAAUACCUGUCUUGCAGAGUUAAUUUUAAAGUUAUACAAGUAAAUACACUUUGAAAGUGACAAGUACUAGAAAAAUGUAGGGAAUUAUCCUACAAGUCUGGGUAUCCCCACCACCCAAGGCACAUGAAUGAUGCACAAUAAAAUAUACAAUUGGUUAGAAAUAGAACAAAGUGUUGAAAGUGCUUCAAAGCUCGAAAUGUAGGGCAUGAGGAAUGAAGGAAAUUCAGUUCAGGAAUAAAAUAUUUAUUCAGCAUCACUAAUAAGCCAGGCACUCUGCCAGAACCCAAAGGUAUAAAGAGGAACAAAUGAUAAUUCCUGCCCUGUGGAUGGCUUAUAGUCUAGGGUAGCAUUUUUACAGUGUGUUCACAGACCACUAAGCUCUCAAAUUUCUAUUUAAAGAUGCCAAAGGACCCAAGAUCAAGUGCUAUAUUCUAAUAUCUACCCUCUCCAUUUCCUACCCCCUCCCACAACCACACUUUCUGUAGACUCACAAUGUGUUAGUUAAUUUAAGGCAUUGAGUCCUGUUGUUAAUAAGCUGACUUGCCCUUAAUUAUCACAGGCUUUUCCAAAUUUCCUUGACAUGCACUAACCAUUUAACCUUGGGGAAAAGAAUGGAAUAACAUUCUUGCCUGCCUGUUGUAGCUGUCAUCAUAUUUAAAUGUAAUAAAACAUGGAAAGUGUUUAAUAAUUAUGGUGCUCUAGGCAAAAUAGCAGUCCUUCAAAAAUGCCCAUGCCCUAAUCUCCAGAACCUGUGAAUAUGUUACCUGACAUUGUAAAGCAACCUUGUAGGUGUGAUUAAAGUUACAAGCUCUGAGAAGAGAAAAUUACUCUGGAUUAUCUGGGUGGGCCCAGCUUAAUCAUAUGAACCCUUAAAAGUGGAGAAUGUUUUCCAGCUAAGGUCAGAGAAAGAGACUUGACAAAGGAAGAAGGGUCAUAGGGAUGUGAUACCGCUAGCUUUAGAGAUGAAGGAAGAGGACCACAGCCAAGAAAUGUGGGUAGCCUCUGAACACAAUACAAGGCAAGGACACGGGCUCUCUCCUUGAGCCUCUAGAAGGAGCACAGCCAUAAGGCAUUCUUAAACUAUGUCGCUUACCUUACCUACCUCAUCCACUUACUACUUGUAUGGCUAAUGGCAUGAGGAAGUCACUAAAACUCUCCGAGCCUUCCUGGCCUCCACUUAAAUGGGAGUGGUACCCACAGAGGGUCAGGAGGCUCAAUCAAAUCUCAAAUUCAUUAUCUCUUGCUUCUCAUGCACAAGUCAGUGUCAGCAGGAGGCAUCAGUGCUUCUGCAAAAAUAACUAAUUCAACAUUACUUUGUCAGAUCACAACCCUUCUUUGCUAAAACCUUCCAGAGGCUCCCUGUCUCACUCACAGAACAACCUCAUGGACUUCCUCUGUUCUCAGGAUUCUCAUGACACAAUAUGACCCCAUUUCCUCUGACUAUAGGUCCUUCCUCUCUCCCCCUUCCUGAUGGUGCUCCAGCCAUACUGGCCACCUUGCUGUUCCUGAGGCACACCAGGCAGCUUCCAGCCUCAGGACAUUUGCACUUGCUGUUUUCUCUGCUUAGAGCCCUCUUCCCCCAUAUCCACAUAGCUUGCUCCCUCAACUCCUUUAGAUCUUCAUUCGGCUAUUACCUUCUUCCUGAGGCCUUCCCUAACAACCCUAUGAAAAUUGCAAUACCUGCCAGCCAAACAUUCCCCAUCCUCCCUUCACUUUAAUUUCCGCCAUAGUAAUUUCAUCUUCUCACAUGCUGCAUAUUUAACUGUUUUGUUUACUUUCUUUCCUCCAUUGGAAUAUAAGCUCUAUCAGGGCUUUUCAUGAAGGACAUGCAAGUAGAUGCUUGAUAAAUAUUUGUUGGAUAAAUAAAUCAGUGCAUAUACCAAUCUGAAGUCACAAAAUCAAUAUGAGCAUCACCUUCCACUAAAGACAUAUCCUUUCAGUUAUCGAUGAAAAAUGAAGUUGAAAACACAAUAAUCAGCCUGUCAUUGAACAAUGCAGCUGCAGCUAAGAUCAAGUUCUUGACUGACUUUGCCGAGCCCAACCAAUUCAAAGGAAGAAUAAAAACAUGGUCAAGGGACCCAAGACCCAGCUCUUAUCCCCUACUCAGAGAAAACCCAGAGAGAACCAGCCUUCUGAUGUCUUGUCCUUCCUGGUUUUGACCAACCUCUAAAAACCAUAAGAACAGUUUGUCUCAGUAUUUCAGUACUUCCGCUUCCAGGCCCAGGAAAGAGCAGGAAGUGCAGGGGCGUGUGAAAAUCAAGAAAAAAGAAGAAUUAAACCCGCUACACAUGAAGCGCUCAAAGACUUCCUCUGUAACCUGUUGCAGCACACGAGUUUCAAUGUGCUUUCACUGAGAGCCCAGGGGGACUGUGCUGUCCCCAGAAUUUCGCACCAUGCCCCACACUCUCAAUGAACACUUGUUG